rnacentral:rRNA from 1 species
AAACCCAGCAACGCCGCGUGAAGGAUGAAGUAUUUCGGUAUGUAAACUUCGAAAGAAUGGGAAGAAUAAAUGACGGUACCAUUUAUAAGGUCCGGCUAACUACGUGCCAGCAGCCGCGGUAAUACGUAGGGACCAAGCGUUGUUCGGAUUUACUGGGCGUAAAGGGCGCGUAGGCGGCAUAUUAAGUCAGCUGUGAAAUCUCCGAGCUUAACUCGGAACUGUCAGCUGAUACUGAUGUGCUAGAGUGCAGAAGGGGCGAUCGGAAUUCUUGGUGUAGCGGUGAAAUGCGUAGAUAUCAAGAGGAACACCUGAGGUGAAGACGGGUUGCUAGGCUGACACUGACGCUGAGGAGCGAAAGCGUGGGGAGCGAACAGGAUUAGAUACCCUGGUAGUCCACGCUGUAAACGUUGGGGCGCUAGGUGUGGGGGACCUCUCCGGUUCUCUGUGCCGCAGCUAACGCAUUAAGCGCCCCGCCUGGGGAGUACGGCCGCAAGGCUAACACUCAAAGGAAUUG